rnacentral:rRNA from 1 species
GACGAACGCUGGCGGCGUGCUUAGCACAUGCAAGUCGAGCGAGAAAGCUCCUUCGGGAGUGAGUACAGCGGCGAACGGGUGGGUAACACGUGGGCAACCUGCCCUAAGGAGCGGGACAACUCGGGGAAACUCGAGCUAAUACCGCAUGAUUCGGCUCUGCAUAAGUAGGGUCGGUAAAUGGUAGCUUCGGCCUCCGCCUUAGGAUGGGCCCGCGCCCGAUUAGCUUGUUGGUGAGGUAAUGGCUCACCAAGGCGACGAUCGGUAGCUGGUCUGAGAGGACGAUCAGCCACACUGGGACUGAGACACGGCCCAGACUCCUACGGGAGGCAGCAGUGGGGAAUCUUGCGCAAUGGGCGAAAGCCUGACGCAGCAACGCCGCGUGGGGGAAGAAGGCCUUCGGGUUGUAAACCUCUUUCAGAUGGGACGAAGCCACCAGGGUUAAUAGCCUAUGGGGUGACGGUACCUUCAGAAGAAGCCCCGGCUAACUACGUGCCAGCAGCCGCGGUAAUACGUAGGGGGCAAGCGUUGUCCGGAAUUAUUGGGCGUAAAGCGCGUGUAGGCGGCUUGGUAAGUCUGGUGUGAAACCUUGGGGCUUAACCCCAAGCCUGCACUGGAUACUGCCUCGCUAGAGUCCGGGAGGGGAGAGGGGAAUUCCCAGUGUAGCGGUGAAAUGCGCAGAUAUUGGGAAGAACACCAGUGGCGAAGGCGCCUCUCUGGAACGGUACUGACGCUGAGACGCGAAAGCGUGGGGAGCGAACAGGAUUAGAUACCCUGGUAGUCCACGCCGUAAACGAUGGGCACUAGAUGUGGGCGGUGUCGACUCCGUCCGUGUCGAAGCU